rnacentral:tRNA from 1 species
UCCGGGAUAGCUCAGUGGUAGAGCAGUUGACUGUUAAUCAAUUGGUCGUGGGUUCGAAUCCCCCUCCCGGAG